CGCUUCAACUCUGGGACUGUUGCCAUCUCUAUCAGUGAACAAGCUCUGGAAUGUACCUGAGAAAUGAUAUGCAUGCAGGGAUUAGUUUUUUUUCUUUCCUUUUCUCUUUUUUUUUGUAUCUUUUUUUUAUUGCGUUUCUUUUGAAAAAUAAAUAUGCUAUGAUGCAAAUGAUGCAGACUGGACUGGUUGGCUGUGUUUCUCGGAACACAGGAUCAAAGCUUCGGCUUGAACUCGGAACCACAAAUUCAUCUGAAACCCAAAGUCAUCUGAGACCCCAAACUUCUGAACCAACAGUCACCAACAGGAUCACAAGUCACCAACAAGUACCUGUACCUGUAAUAAUGAUCAUCCCCUCCCCACUCACGGGUGUCAUCUAGGCCAGGGUAAGGUCGAGAGAAACGCAACAUAAAU
rnacentral:lncRNA from 1 species